UACGUAGGGUGCGAGCGUUUGUCCGGAAUUACUGGGCGUAAAGAGCUCGUAGGUGGUUUGUCGCGUUGUUCGUGAAAACUCAUAGCUUAACUGUGGGCGUGCGGGCGAUACGGGCAGACUGGAGUACUGCAGGGGAGACUGGAAUUCCUGGUGUAGCGGUGGAAUGCGCAGAUAUCAGGAGGAACACCGGUGGCGAAGGCGGGUCUCUGGGCAGUAACUGACGCUGAGGAGCGAAAGCGUGGGGGAGCGAACAGG
rnacentral:rRNA from 1 species